rnacentral:rRNA from 1 species
GACGAACGCUGGCGGCGUGCUUAACACAUGCAAGUCGUACGGUAAGGCCCUUUCGGGGGUCCACGAGUGGCGGACGGGUGCGUAACACGUGAGUAACCUGCCCACAACUUUGGGAUAACGCUAGGAAACUGGUGCUGAUACUGGAUAUGUGCCCCUGCUGCAUGGUGGGGGUUGGAAAGCUCCGGCGGUUGUGGAUGGACUCGCGGCCUAUCUGCUUGUUGGUGGGGUAGUGGCCUACCAAGGCGGCGACGGGUAGCCGGCCUGAGAGGGUGACCGGCCACAUUGGGACUGAGAUGAGGCCCAGACUCCUACGGGAGGCAGCAGUGGGGAAGCUUGCACAAUGGGCGCAAGCCGGAUGCUGAAACGCCGCGUGCGGGAUGACGGCCUUCGGGUUGUAAACCGAUUUCAGCAGGGACGAAGCUUUUUGUGACGGUACCUGCAGAAGAAGCACCGGCUAACUACGUG